UGUUAUUUUACCAAUAUUAUUGUUUGACUAAACUUUUUUAUCAAAUCCCCCUUAUACUACUCUGAUGCAAAAAGCUGGAUGGGAAAAUUAUACCAGGAUCCCGCGUAGCAAUUUUUUCAUUAUCGCAACAACGACGUCCCUUCUAUAAUCAUGCCAGUGGGUCUUAAAGCAUCGGAAGGACUAUAAUUGUUGAUGGUAGGUGUAGGAUAAUCACUUGGUUUCUUGGGGGUGGUAGGAGAUUAUGGCUUAUCGUCAAAGGACUCUGCUAAAGAUUAGGGCUCGAAGAUUUUGGGACGGAGCAUUUUAAGGUGGAAGAUUUCAAUGUCGGUGUUGGCCCAUUGGGGAUGAUGAUUUAGUUGUAGGUGAUGAAGACGGAAAGAUGCUCGACAAGGAAUUGGCAGCCACAGAUCUUGCGACAACAAGGAAAAUGAGUGCAAGAACAAACAACAGAGAUGAGCCAAAUCAAACGAUAGAGAUGGCUAUGAAACAAAAUUAAAAUUUCUGGUGGUGGGAGUUUUGGCUGUAUUUCUGGGUUCUGAUUUUGGGGCUUUCUAAGGUUUUCAAGAUUGUGGAGGUUUUGAACGUGUUAAUUAUGGAGGUGAAAGUUUAAUUAGUUUUAGGGGUAUUAUUCUAAUUUGUUACUUUUUG
rnacentral:lncRNA from 1 species